AACGCACCUUGCGCUCCUUGGUAUUCCGAGGAGCAUGCCUGUUUGAGUGUCAUUAAAUUCUCAAUCUCAACAUUCUUGUGAUGUUUGUAGAUUGGAUGUGGGGGUUACUGUGGGGUCUUUCACAAGCUCUACUCCCCUGAAAUGUAUUAGCUGGAAUGCCUUUGCAAACCAACUAUCAGUAUGAUAAUUAUCUAUGCUGGAGUUGAUGCGAUAGGGAAUCUGCUUCUCAAUCGUCUUUUACAAGACAACUUGAAUCAUUUUGACCUCAAAUCAGGUAGGACUACCCGCUGAACUUAA
rnacentral:misc_RNA from 1 species